rnacentral:rRNA from 1 species
UACGUAGGGUGCGAGCGUUAAUCGGAAUUACUGGGCGUAAAGCGUGCGCAGGCGGUUGUGUAAGACAGAUGUGAAAUCCCCGGGCUCAACCUGGGAACUGCAUUUGUGACUGCACGGCUCGAGUGCGGCAGAGGGGGAUGGAAUUCCGCGUGUAGCAGUGAAAUGCGUAGAUAUGCGGGAGGAACACCGAUGCGAAGGCAAUCCCCUGGGCCUGCACUGACGCUCGAUGCACGAAAGCGUGGGGAGCAAACAGG